rnacentral:rRNA from 1 species
UACGGGGGGUGCGAGCGUUGUCCGGAAUCACUGGGCGUAAAGGGCGCGUAGGCGGCCACCGCAAGUCACUUGUGAAAUCUCCGGGCUUAACUCGGAACGGUCAAGUGAUACUGUCGGACUAGAGUACAGAAGGGGCAACUGGAAUUCUCGGUGUAGCGGUGAAAUGCGUAGAUAUCGAGAGGAACACCUGCGGCGAAGGCGGGUUGCUGGGCUGAUACUGACGCUGAGGCGCGAAAGCCAGGGGAGCGAACGGG